rnacentral:tRNA from 1 species
GCAGCCGUGGCACGGGUGCGCGCGCAGCGCGGCCCGCAGCCGCGCGAUGUCGUCGGUCGUGCCCGGCGCGGUCGCG